rnacentral:rRNA from 1 species
UACGUAGGGCGCAAGCGUUGUCCGGAAUUAUUGGGCGUAAAGAGCUCGUAGGCGGUUUGUCGCGUCUGCUGUGAAAACCUAAGGCUCAACCUUGGGCUUGCAGUGGGUACUGGCAGACUAGAGUGCGGUAGGGGUGACUGGAAUUCCUGGUGUAGCGGUGGAAUGCGCAGAUAUCAGGAGGAACACCGAUGGCGAAGGCAGGUCACUGGGCGGCAACUGACGCUGAGGAGCGAAAGCAUGGGGAGCGAACAGG